UUACCUCAGGUCAGAGAAGACUACCCGCUGGACUUAAGCAUAUCACUAAGCGGAGGAAAAGAAACUAACUAGGAUUCCCCCAGUAACUGCGAGUGAAGAGGGAAGAGCUCAUCAUUGGAAUCUGGCAGUGUUUUCACUGUCCGAGUUGUAGAUGAGGAGUAGUCCAUCUGGACUGCAUGGCGUCCAAGUACAAUAGGCCGUCAGUGGGACAUCAUAGAGGGUGACAAUCCCGUCCUUGAUGCCAAUGUGCAAGUCCGUUACGAUGGCUAUCUCAGAGAGUCGAGCAGUUUGGGAUUUGCUGCUUAAACAUGGGAGGUAGAUUCCUUCUAAAGCUAAAUACAGGCGAGAGACCGAUAGAGAACAAGUACCGCAAGGGAAAGAUGAAAUAGCACUCUGUGAAGGGAGUCAAAAGACGUGAAAUUGUUGCGAGAGAAGCGAUUCAAGUCAGCGUAGCUAGGCCCAUCAAGCCUCUUGCUUUGGACUAGCUUUGCCAGCGGUCUUGUCCUAAGAGACUUGACUUUUAUGUCCAGCCUGGUAUGCACAGGUAGCCCCUCUCGGGGGGCCAGUGACAUGGCUGGUGGAAUGGCUUGCAAUCGACCCGUCUUGAAACACGGACCAAGGAGUCUAACAUGUAUGCGAGUAUAAGGGUGGCAAACCCGUAUGCGCAAUGAAAGUGAUUUUCGGUGAUUGAGAAUGGCCUGAUGACCAGACAAGCAAUAUUAUGUCCCUCGUACGGCCAUUGCCCAAGUUCCGUGGUAGAUCCCACGAACAUGGAGUUGGAGCAUACAUGCUAGGACCCGAAAGAUGGUGAACUAUGCCUGGACAAAGUGAAGCCAAAGGAAACUCUGGUGGAGGCUUGUAGCGAUUCUGACGUGCAAAUCGAUCGUCUGAUCUGGGUAUAGGGGCGAAAGACUAAUCGAACCAUCUCAUAGCUGGUUCCUGCCGAAG
rnacentral:rRNA from 1 species